rnacentral:tRNA from 1 species
AGGCUGUGGCUCAGUGAUAGAGCACUGGCCUAGUAUGCUCGAGGCCCUGGGUUCCAUCCCCAGCACUG